CAGCGCACAGAGACUAUCACAGACAUUUGCAGAGCUUUUUUGAGAUGUUAUAGUAAUAAAAUAAUGACUUGGAUUGCAUUAUUAAGGAGUUUGGUGAUAAAAUGAGUGAUCAGGAGAUGAUCGAUCGAUAAGAAUUGGGCUAAUGACGAUUUGGAGCAAACUAAACUGGCUGCCAGGUUCCUAAAAAAAAUUCACAGGGAGCUACAUAUUUCACGGAAAUAAUGAAAUCUGUGAUAAGCCUACAGUGGCCAGCAGCGAUCUGAAACCAAGAAUCAGGAGAAGGACAUGGAGUAAAAAUGUCUGCUGAAUCCGAGGGCCUUUUACCCUGGACUAGAAAACACAUCUUAAAUACCUGGAGUUUCACAGAAAGACCGUGACGUUCAAACAGAG